UACGUAGGUGGCAAGCGUUGUCCGGAAUUAUUGGGCGUAAAGCGCGCGCAGGCGGCCUUUUAAGUCUGAUGUGAAAGCCCACGGCUCAACCGUGGAAGGUCAUUGGAAACUGAAAGGCUUGAGUACAGAAGAGGAAAGCGGAAUUCCACGUGUAGCGGUGAAAUGCGUAGAGAUGUGGAGGAACACCAGUGGCGAAGGCGGCUUUCUGGUCUGUAACUGACGCUGAGGCGCGAAAGCGUGGGGAGCAAACAGC
rnacentral:rRNA from 1 species